rnacentral:rRNA from 1 species
GACGAACGCUGGCGGCGUGCUUAACACAUGCAAGUCGAACGGAAAGGCCCUGCUUUUGUGGGGUGCUCGAGUGGCGAACGGGUGAGUAACACGUGAGUAACCUGCCCUUGACUUUGGGAUAACUUCAGGAAACUGGGGCUAAUACCGGAUAGGAGCCCCUGCUGCAUGGUGGGGGUUGGAAAGUUUCGGCGGUUGGGGAUGGACUCGCGGCUUAUCAGCUUGUUGGUGGGGUAGUGGCUUACCAAGGCUUUGACGGGUAGCCGGCCUGAGAGGGUGACCGGCCACAUUGGGACUGAGAUACGGCCCAGACUCCUACGGGAGGCAGCAGUGGGGAAUAUUGCACAAGGGGCGGAAGCCUGAUGCAGCAACGCCGCGUGCGGGAUGACGGCCUUCGGGUGGUAAACAGCUUUCGCCUGUGACGAAGCGUGAGUGACGGUAAUGGGUAAAGAAGCACCGGCUAACUACGU